GUAUUAAUUAUUAGUUAAUGCAAGAUCGACUAUGUCGAACUAAAGUUCUAGGUAGAAUAAUGAUGAUGACAAUUUUCUACCUAUAUGUCUUGACCAAAUCUCGUGCCAGCAGUCGCGUAAUACGUGAAAGACUAGUGUUAUUCAUCUUUAAUAGGUUUAAAGGGUACCUAGACGGUAUUUUUAGCCCAAAACAGGGUACGGACUUACUAGAGUUUUAUGUGAGAAGGGGAGUACUUGUAGAGUAGAGAUGAAAUUUUGUGAUACUAUGAGGAAACUGGUGGCGGCGAACGCAACCUUCUAUGUAUAAAACUGACGUUGAGGGACGAAGGCUUGGGUAGCAAAUAGGAUUAGAUACCCUAGUAGUCCAAGCAGACAAUUCUGAAUGCCAUAGAUUAGAUUAUUUUUGGUCUAUAAAUGAAAGUGUAAGCAUUCCACCUUAGGAGUAAUGUGGCAACACAGGAACUGAAAUCAUUAGACCCGUUUCUGAAACCAGUAGUGAAGUAUGUUUAUUUUAAUUUUGAUAGUCCUCAAAAAAACCUUUACCAACAACUUUGAAUUGUUUAUUUAAAAUUAAAUAACAAAGCGUUUGCACGGGCUUGUUCUUUCAGUUUAAUAUAUCGGUGGAGAUUUUUGGGUUUAAACCUCC
rnacentral:rRNA from 1 species